UUCCGGUUGAUCCUGCCGGACCCGACUGCUAUUUGGGUGAGAAUAAGCCAUGCGAGUCGAAUGGGAUACCUAAAUCUCCCAUGGCAAACUGCUCAGUAACACAUGAUCAACUUACCCUACAGAGAAAAAUAACCUCGGGAAACUGAGGAUAAUGUUUCAUAGUUGAAUAGGCUUGGAAAAGUUUUUCAAUAAAAGGGAUAAGGAAAAUGGUCCUUAUCCGCUAUAGGAUAGGAUCGUGUUCGAUUAUGGUUGUUGGUGAGGUAACGGCUCACCAAGCCGAUAAUCGAUAGGGGCCGUGAGAGCGGGAGCCCCGAGAUGGGUACUGAGACAACGACCCAGGCCUUACGAGGCGCAGCAGGCGCGGAACCUCCGCAAUACACGAAAGUGUGACGGGGUUACCCAAAGUGCUCUUUCUAGAGCUGUGGUAGGUGAGUAAUGUUCCCUACUAGAAAGGAGAGGGCAAGGCUGGUGCCAGCCGCCGCGGUAAAACCAGCUCUUCAAGUGGUCGGGAUAAUUAUUGGGCUUAAAGUGUCCGUAGCCGGUUUAGAAAGUUCCUGGUAAAAUCGGGUAGCUUAACUAUCCGCAUGCUAGGAAUACUGCUAUACUAGAGGGCGGGAGAGGUCUGAGGUACUACAGGGGUAGGGGUGAAAUCUUAUAAUCCUUGUAGGACCACCAGUGGCGAAGGCGUCAGACUGGAACGCGCCUGACGGUGAGGGACGAAAGCCAGGGGAGCGAACCGGAUUAGAUACCCGGGUAGUCCCAGCCGUAAACGAUGCGGGCUAGGUGUUGGGGUGGCUACGUGCCACUUCAGUGCCGCAGGGAAGCCAUUAAGCCCGCCGCCUGGGGAGUACGGCCGCAAGGCUGAAACUUAAAGGAAUUGGCGGGGGAGCACCACAAGGCGUGAAGCUUGCGGUUCAAUUGGAUUCAACGCCGGG
rnacentral:rRNA from 1 species